CCUUCCGUCCGUGACGCCUCCGCGCGCGGUCGCGAGCGUGGCGGAAGGAGACGAGGUCUGCACGUCCUCCCGGAAGCUGUGGAGACGUUGACUCCGCCGCGGCCCGGGCCGCUCGGCGCCUCCCGCUUCCACGGCCGCGGAGGCCAAGCCUGGAGCUCUUGUUCUGGUCCUGCGGACGGUUCAGCCCGGGCACCGGCACCCCUUGCGCACGACAGCCGGUCCCGGGGUUGCACUCUACUCCCUGGAGCACGGAGCGGCGGCGGGGCUUGGUGAGCGCCGUUCAUCCCCCAUCGCACGUGCCCGGGGUCAGCAGUCUGCAGAAAACACAGAAACUGGACAACUGAAGACAGUCAAGAUCCGAAGUGGAAAGUGAAAAAAAAAAAAAAGAAAGAAAAAAAGACUUGAACAGGAAGGGAGAAAGCAGGGAUCCUUGUCAGAGGAUGCUUAACCGUAAAAUGGAAAUGCACAGUCAAAAUAUCUUUUCGGGUGGUGAGAAAAGAGAGACAAAUGAGCUCUCCAGGGCUUCCGGGUGCUGCAAUGAACUCCAGAUGCAUGUGCCACUUUGUGCAUCUGGCUUUAUGUGGGUCCUGGGGAAUAAAACUGAGAUCAUUAGGCUUUGCAGGUAAGAGCCUUAAGUGCUGAGCCAUCUCUUCAGCUCAUCGCCUACAUUUGCUUUUUGUUUUGUCACAGCAAGUUUUAGCAGCAAGCAAAAUUUGCAGGAGACCACACUGAGUUUGUAGAUGCCCACCCUUUUCUCAUUGACACGAACUUUCUCUAACAACACAGUAAGAAUAUAAGUUCAUUGGAAGAAGUUAAAAACUCAUGGAGAGAGCCGAGCGUGGUGGUGCACGCCCUUAAUUCCAGUGCUCGGGAGGCAGAGGUAGGAAGAUCGUCAUGAAUUUGAGGCCACCCUGAGAUACAGAGUUAAUUCCAGGUCAGCCUGAGCUAGAGUGAGACUCUACCUUUAAAAACAAACAAACAACAAAAAAAAAAAAAAAACACAACAACAUGGAGAAUCACCAAAGAUGUGAUUACUAUGAAUAUCUCACUGAAGAAAAUAAAAAUGACUGAACUUGGGCAUUUCA